UACUCUCAAACUGGCACGUAUACAUACAUACCCGAAUACCUGUGCGAUUUUUUAAUUCAGCUAAAUAGGUCUACUGAUUGUCAAAUUUGGUAGUAGAAAUUGUGAAGAGCAACACGGACAUGUACUUUACUGAUAGGGAAUGUAGGUGUAAUACAUAGUGCUUUUCAUGGUAAGGGUUCUAGUACAUGUAUGAUCAUUUUAGUGUAGUAUAUCCCAACUUCACUAUGAAAAUACAGCAGAAACUUGUCUGUUUAUUUCACUUCAAUUAUUAUAUUUCUCGUAUCUCAAUCUCAUAUGCUUGUUUGAUAUAUAAUCCAAUGGGUGAUAGCAUCACUUUUUACAACUACCCAUCAGGGUUACCUUUUUAUUUAGGUAAAUGUAAGACUUCAUCACCUUUUACCAAGUAUCCAUCCUGGUUACAUUAUGCGCAAAAUAGGUUCCAAAUUUAAUUCCAGGGCGACUGCACAGGGCCCCCAAAAAUUAGGGUUCUUGUCUGAUGCUUUAUCUUGUAUUCGGUUUGUCUUGAUGCUUUAUCUCUGGUGGUUCUUGUCUGAUGCACACUGUUCUUUGCAGGGCCGUUGACGAGGAUGUGCAAGGUGGGUGACUGCACAGGGCCCCCAAAAAUUAGGGGGCUUCAAAUCCUGUAUAUGUGUUCUUCAUCGCCAUGGAUCUGAGAAUGCCCGAACUGCUUGUUUUUGUUGGAGAAGAGAGAACAUGAAGAAGAGGGACCUGGGUCGUGGGCCCCUUUGGCGAAGGGGUAAGUGCCUACUGCAGGUCUGGUUCAACCAGCUGGACUUGUGCGAUUCAGCCACUUCUUCAGGGAGCCACCAAAAACCAGUCAGUGCACCUGAUCGAAAUACGAGAGGGGAAAGCCCUAGAUGGACGACGUGGUCAUGGCUGACGGCCGCACCAAUACGAGCGGCAUCCUUGGUUCCUCCGCGUGUCCUAGGGCGGCGAGGCCCAUGAUCUCGGCCAUGGAGCACUGUAGCAUCAUUGUUGUGCCUCUGCUAUCAUCCGUCGCCAGAACAAGCAGGCAUGUACGUUUCCCUUGCCUGACGCAUUCCCAUAGUCAAUGUGAGUAUUUUGUUCAUAUUGACAUCACCACAUGGCUAUUUCUAAUUUCCAUGUUCCUCUUUUGUAUGAUUGGGAAUUCCUUCUGUCAUGUUUAUUUGUUGCCCAUCUCAUGGCUGGAAUCGUUCCUAAUUAGAGGCUCUUUUCUUGAAUUGGUCAGUACUAGGAGACACUAACAUGCUAAUUGAGACAAGCAUGGAAAAUAGCUUGUACAGUCAAUGCUGUACUAGACCACUACAUUAGAACAGAUGCAUUAUUUUAGUUUAAUUUCCAAUGCAACUUGCCGCAAACAGCUACUCCUAGUUAGAUUUGGAGUAUAUAUGCAAAGUUAGAUUUGAAUGAAACUGGCUACUUCUGUCAAUGUCAGAACUUUAAGUUUUAGGUAUAUAUGUUAUUCCUAAUAUGCUCGCUGCCCCUUAUAAUUUCAGUCAUUUUGGCUACUUAGAUGUUGGUUUAAUUUGAUUAUGUGGCAUGUAGUUCAUUUGUUGUUAGCCAUAGUCCAGGGGCCUCAAUUUUCUGGAGAUGGCUCUGGUUCUUUGCAGGGUUAUGAUGAUAUUUCCAAGGAAAUAUACUGAUCCUGAUGUGACAAAACUGCCCAUUUUCCCUUUCUUAAACAUUUUUAGUCUGUUUUUUGUUCUUCCUAGUUCCAGCUUCACAUUGCUGGUGUUUCAUGCCAUAUUCAUCAGAUCCUGCUUACAUGCCUUAUGAUUAACUUGACUAGUAUUUCUGCCACUGUCCAACUGGUUCUUAAAGGUAUUGAAUCCAGAUUGAAGAGCAAACUCUAUUUGCAGGUGCCAACGAAGAGGAUUGACAAAUAAGAUAGUAGUCCAAACUUGCAAAAUACCUUUUUCAGAGAUCUAGUCCUAAUAAGACUCCAGUGCGCUCAUACAAGCUGAACAAGGAAUUCUCAAAUGUUUAAAGCAAUGGUAAGUCACGACCUUGCUUUCUCUUAAUGUUCACCUGCAUUUUAUAUGUAUGGCCUUCAUAAUUAGCUAGCUGCUUCUUCUCUUUCACAAUGUGUUGUUGCUGCAUCGAGUCACAACUUUGAAAAAACGAAUAUGUGCUAGCUAGGGACAUGAACUUAACUGAAACUACAGAUUGAGUCACAACUUAAAUCAACAACGGAUGCUUUUAGUACAUGUACUUGUGCUUAUGCUUUAGACAUUUACACUUGUAAAACUGUUCUGAUCCCUCAGUUACAUGCUUGUUGACACAGUAUUACUCCAAAUAGUCUGGUGAUAGUUAUUUUUAACAAGGGCUGGAAUAAUUGUAUGGUGUAUGUUAUGUUGGACUCAUUAACUAGAACUAUUUUUUUGAUUUCUUGAUUGCAGGAUCCAAAGAUCUAGCUCGACUUGACUCUAGAUCACGGACAGUUAGUCUUGGCCUUAAUUAGGAUGGCUAAAUUACAUUUGAGUAUCAUUUGAUGGAUAUUUGCUAUGAGAAUUAUGAAUUUUAUGAAUCUAUAUAUUAUACGUAUGGUUUUGAAUAUUGUAA